AAGUGCUGGCUUCGGCAGCUUAUAUCCUAAAGUUGGAAGGACACAGAGAAGAUUAGCCUGGUCCCCGUGCAAGGAUGACAUGCAAAUUCAUGCAACAUUCUGUGUGUGU